ACGCCUCAAUAUAGCAUUACGAUGUGAAAGUCCGGGGUUUCAAACCCUCAAAAUAGCAUUUAUAUCUAUUACUCACCUCUAAUCGACCUCAGACUAGUCCGCAAUGCCCUUUCCUCUUGAAUCGACCUCUUCGCGCGUGGAAUCUAGUCAAAACCACAACGAAUACGUUACAAUAGGCUAAGGGAAUAUAACCCAAUCUAAAAGACUAGAAAAAUGUCGAAAAUCCCGAAAUUAGCAAAACCCGAGCCCCGGGCCCACGUCUCAAAAUUCAGAUAUUUUUACAUCAAUACGACCCUUAUCUCGCCACGAGUCUAUACAUACCAAAUUCAAAAAAAUCGGAGUUCAUUUGACCCCUCAAAUCACCAUUUAAUUUUCUUAAGUUUCAAGCCCUAAACCACCAUUUUUGUCCAUAAAUUACUUGAGUUUUCAGCUCUAAUCCAUGUAUUUAACUUGAAAAUAAGUAGAAACAACUCACCUUUGAUGCUUGAUGAAAUCUCCCUUGAAAUUCUCCCCAAAAUAAUCCAAGCCAAAUGAAAGAAAUGAAAGAAUUAAGUCAAAUCAGUGUUUAAAAGAAUCUGUCCGUG
rnacentral:lncRNA from 1 species